UACGUAGGGUGCGAGCGUUGUCCGGAAUUAUUGGGCGUAAAGAGCUUGUAGGCGGUUGUCGCGUCUGCUGUGAAAUCCGGGGCUCAACCCGGACUUGCAGUGGGUACGGGCAGACUAGAGUGUGGUAGGGGAGACGUGGAAUUCCUGUGUAGCGGUGGAAAUGCGCAGAUAUCAGGAGGAACACCGAGUGGCGAAGGCAGGUCUCCUGGGCCACUACUGACGCUGGAGAAGCGAAAGCAUGGGAGCGAACAGG
rnacentral:rRNA from 1 species